AUGAUUGCGGAAUUGUUAGUAUUCCUAAUAACAUUCCUCGUCGUUUAUUUUGUUUAUUUACACAAAUUAGCAAAGGACAGGUUUAGAAACAACGACGUGAAAUUCGUGCCCUGUUGGCCUUUAUUCGGCAAUGCCUACAACAGUACAAUAACGAAGAAACACAUGUUCGAAGACAUGGAUGCCGUUUAUAGAGCUUUCCCGGAUGAGAAAUAUGUCGGCUACAUCGAGGCAACCACACCGAUAAUCAUGGUGCGCGACCCAGAGCUGAUUAAGAACCUGACGGUGAAGGAUUUCGAUCACUUCAUGGACCACAGGCAGUUCUUCCCUGAAGAUAUCGAGCCUUUGUUCGGGGGCAGUGUGCUUAUGAUGCAAGGUGAAAAAUGGCGCGACAUGCGAAUGACACUUAGCCCGGCGUUCACUGGCUCCAAGAUGCGACACAUGAUGCCUUUUAUGACCGAGAUCAGCCAGAACGUCAUUACGUAUUUAAAAGAAAAUCUCAAAGAAAAUGAAGACGUAGAUGUUGGCGACGUCAUACGCCGGUACACAAAUGACGUUAUCGCGUCAGCCGGUUUUGGCAUCGUCGUCAACUCUAUAAAGGACAAAGACAAUGAGUUCUUCAAGCUAGGCCAGGGCAUCUUCAAAUUUUCCGUUUGGCAGAGGAUCUUGUUCUUUGUUGCCACUAUGUGGCCAAACUUUUAUAAGAAACUACGGUUACCGGUGUUCCCUAAGAAAACAAUCGACUUUUUUAAGACAAUGGUGACAUCUACAAUCGACUACAGAGAGAAAAAUAACGUUGAACGUCCUGACAUGAUCCAGCUGCUGAUGGAAGCGUCAAAGGGACAAUUGAAAGGCAACUCUAAUGAAGACGAAAAAGACAGUGUUGGAUUCGCUACAGUAGAAGAAGCUCUGAAACCACAGGGUGUAACUAGAAAAUGGACCACGAAUGAGUUAACAGGACAAGUUUUUAUAUUUUUCGUGGCUGGUUUCGAAAGCUCUGGCAGUACUCUGGUCAUGGGUAUUCACGAAUUAGCAAUAAACCCACAUGUUCAGGACAAAUUGUACCAGGAGAUCAAAGAGUUCAAAAUAAAAAACAGUGCUUUGACGUAUGAUAACAUCAGUGAAUUGAAAUAUUUGGACUGCGUUUUAAACGAAACAUUGAGGAAAUGGUCACCUGCAUUGAUAUUGGAUAGAUGUUGUACGAAAGCUUACGAACUGCCUCCAGUUAGGGAAGGAGGCAGGCCAUUUAAAUUGAAACCAGGAGACAUUGUCUACAACGUGGUGAACUCCAUCCACCUGGACGAGAAGUACUGGCCUGAACCGGAAAAGUUCGACCCUGACAGAUUCUCUGAUGAGAACAAACGUAGCAUCAAGCCUUUUACCUACAUGCCCUUUGGUGUGGGACCUAGGAAUUGUAUUGGAUCAAGAUUCGCGAUCUUGGAGCUGAAGGUUCUUCUCUUCGAUCUAGUCUCCAACUACAAGAUUGUCAAGUCUGAGAAAACCCUUGAUCCGAUCGUCUUAGAACCUUCUGAUUUCAAUAUUAAGCCUAAAGGAGGCUCUUUUGUUCGAUUAGAGAAGAGAGCUUAAGGUUUUAGCUGAACUUUAAGUGGGGGAUUCUGUGGGUAAGAAAUGUGAGCCCCACUGUAAUAGUAAUUGAUACCAUUUUCAAGUCAGAUAUAAUAACUGGUAUUGUUACUAGUUUAUUGUUAUUUGUAGUGUUUUAUGUCUGAUCUAUACGCCGACAACUAUAGUGGGAAACCCUGCAUUUGGGUAUAUACCCAAUGUGUUUUUAUUCCUGUUUAGAAGCAGUUGGUAUUUCAGUAAUAAAUAAAUAGUGUUCUAUUUUAUACAUACAGGAUGAUUGCGGGAUUACAAUCCCGACCCAUCGUUUCUGACUCGAUAAAUGAUUGCAAAUUCAUGAAUUUGGUCUUUUUGAAAUAAUUAGAGUAAAGGAUUUUAGUAAUAAAUUAUUAUGAAUGUAAAACUAAUGCUGAUAUUAUGUAGAUACCUUAUAUCUCGUGUAAACAUUUUUGAAAACAUACCGAGUAAGAAAUGACAAAGUUAUGAUCAAACAAAAAAGCAAUUAAGCAAUUUGACUAAACUUCAGAUGACGAUUAUUAGUCUAAACACAAGGAACUAAAUUAUUUGUUUUUAUUAGCAUAAAGAAAUAAAUAAAUAAAUAUUAAACAACAUCACAUAUGUUGCUUUGAUCCCGAAGUAAGUAGCUAAAGCACUUGUGGAAAUCGGAAACAACGACGGUACCACAAACACACAGACCCGAGACAAUAUAGAAAAGUUACUUUUCUACACUAAUCCGGCUGGGGAUUCAACCUGGGAUCUCAGAUAUGGCGACACCAUGAAAACUGGUGAAUAAGCCACUCGACCACUGAGGUCGUCAAAUCAAGAAAGUUAUUGCUUUGACGCUUUCAAAUCUAUUGCAUUGUGUUCCUAAUGCGAUUGUAAGUCAUAAUC